UGAUAUUGCAAACUUGUUUCUACCAAAUGCCACACUUCCCACCAACGUUAAAUGCUACGCCAAAUGCAUGGGUAUCGACUUCGAGAUUGUACUGGCGAACUUAGCGUUCGACGUAGAGAAAAUUGCACAAUUGAUGGAAGAUGUUUUUGGAAAUGAC